AAGUGGUUCAAGGGUCAAAGUUCAGAGGAAUGAACAGCCAUGUCAGCCAGCACCAGUUUCCCGCUGUUAGCAGUGCCAAUGGGAAUUCAUCUCUACCCAAAGAGAGUGAUGCAGCAGCACUUUCAUCCUUUAGUCUGUCCAGCUCUCUCACGAUCUCAUCUGUACACUUCUCACUCAAACAGUUCAGCCUCCAAAGCUUCAAUAUUUAUGCUAAUACCGCUGCCAAUGCCUUCAUACGCAUCCUCGUACUCAUCAUCUUGUAGAUCGCUACCUAGCUGAGCCGAGUCUCUGCCGUAACGUAACACAAUUGCAAUGUAGAGCUAUAAUGCAUUCUGGACCUCUGAGUCCAGUGUUUGCCCUCUCCCCAUUGGAUUUCUUAUUAAUAUAAUGUUGACUGUCACUGGAAAAUGGUGAGCGAGAAAAGAUCUUGUUAUGUUUGAGAUUGUUGACAAUUUUUGCUCCUGUCAAACGUUACUGUAACUGCGCUAGCAUUAACACCCCGAGACAUCAGUGCAGCUCACAGCUGUUAACUUCUCAUAGAAAUCACAAAAAUACACCAUUCAACGAAUUAGCAUGAGAAUCACUAAACACAUCACAUAUAUUACAACAUAAACACAUUUAAUGUGUUUCAGGGUGCAUUUGUUUCCUUUAAAUGUCUUCAUUCUCAGCCAGUGGGGUUAAGUGAAUAAAAACUGAAUUAAAAGUCAAUGUUUAUUGUCAUUAAA